UACGAAGGGUGCAAGCGUUGUCCGGAAUCAUUGGGCGUAAAGAGCACGUAGGCGGCUUCAUAAGUCGGAUGUGAAAUCCCUCGGCUCAACCGAGGACGUGCAUCCGAAACUGUGAGGCUUGAGUACUGAAGAGGAUCGCGGAAUUCCCGGUGUAGAGGUGAAAUUCGUAGAUAUCGGGAAGAACACCAGUGGCGAAAGCGCUCUACUGGGCCAUAACUGACACUGAGGGACGAAAGCUAGGGGAGCGAAAGGG
rnacentral:rRNA from 1 species